CGGACAAGGCUUAGGCGGGAAGAGGUUACACAGAGCAGUGAUUGGCCGGUGGGGAGCAGUGCUCAUGGAGACACAGAGGGGGGAAGUGCUGCCGGUCGUCUCUCUCACUUGACAGACGCUGUUCUUUAAAGAUGAUGGAUCCAAUUGGUUGUGUAGCUGCCCUGCUGAAGACCAGUUCGCUGCCUCAGUGGUCGUCAGCGUGGGUCACCUUAUUGGCUGAGGAUGAUGACUUAAAGAUGGAGGAUCCAACAAAUGACCCGAGAGAUUUCUGGUGAACCGCCUUUUGCUGCACGGCCCUGCACCACACUGCACCAGUCCAGGAAAUAUUAUUCUGGACUUUGUGGUGGGUGGUUACCACUAAGCUGGACUGGCUGCUGCAGCCACCGCCGCCCUGGUCACUGUCCUAUCUUGGGCUGGCCACUGCUGCCCUGGACUGCCUGCUGCUGCCACCACUGCCCUGGACUGCCUGCUGCUGCCACCACCCUGGACAAUGUCCUGUCCCUAAGCUGGCUGCUGCUGUCCUGGACUGCCUGCUGCUGCCACCCUGGACACUGUCCUGUCCUAGGCUGGCCACUGCUGCUGUGGCCGUCCUGGACUGCCUGCUGCUGCCACCCUGGACACUGUCCUGUCCACUGCUGCUGCUGCCACCACCCUGGACACUGUCCUGUCCCUAAGCUGGCUGCUGCUGUCCUGUCCUGGACUGCCUGCUGCUGCCACCCUGGACACUGUCCUGUCCUAGGCCGGCCACUGCUGCCACCCUGGACACUGUCCUGUCCACUGUUGUUGCCACCCUGGACUGCCAUGUGCUGGCCACUGCUGCCCUUUACUGCUGUCAAAGAAAAAUUUAUAAUGCCAUUAAGUUUCCAUUAAUAAAUGUCUAAAUGUCAA